CCUACGGGAGGCAGCAGUGGGGAAUAUUGGGCAAUGGAGGCAACUCUGACCCAGCAACUCCGCGUGAAUGAUGAAGGUCUUCGGAUGGUAAAGUUCUGUGAUGGGGGAUGAACACAAUGACGUUACCCCAAUAGCAAACCACGGCUAACUAAGGGCCAGCAGCCGCGGUAAUACGUAGGUGGCAAGCGUUAUCCGGAAUGACUGGGCGUAAAGGUGGCGUAGGUGGUUUAGUAAGUUGGCGGGGUAAUUCCGGGGCUCAACCUCGGCGCUACCGCCAAAACUAUUAGACUAGAGUGCAGGAGGGGUAAGUGGAAUGCCUAGUGUAGCGGUGGAAGGCGUAGAUAUUAGGAGGAACAUCAGGGGCGAAGGCGACUUACUGGACUGUAACUGACACUGAGGCACGAAAGCGUGGGGAGCAAACAGGAUUAGAUACCCGGGUAGUC
rnacentral:rRNA from 1 species